UGCGUCUUUUCUGGAUUUACCUUGAUCAGUAACGCUCAAAACCAAACAUUUGCAAACGUUUGAUAACCUACGCUACGAAUUUGUGUUAUAUAAUUGUUUAUCAAUUUAGAUUAUGGUCCAUCAUGGGUGAAGUCUAAAUAUGAAUAGAGUUGGUCAUGAUUCGUUUUACUAUGUAUAAUAGAGAUUGUCCAAAUUACAUUUACAAGUCUGUAUCUCCACGAUGACACAUAGCCUAUACUAUCGUAUAUUCAGUUAAUACAGUAGACAUCAUACAUGUACGCUAGCAUAUAUUUUAUUUUUAUUUCAAACACAUUAGUAUACAGUCAUUUCAC
rnacentral:lncRNA from 1 species